rnacentral:rRNA from 1 species
AUUGAACGCUGGCGGCAGGCCUAACACAUGCGAGUCGAGCGGCAGCGGGAAAGUAGCUUGCUACUUUUGCCGGCGAGCGGCGGACGGGUGAGUAAUGCCUGGGAAAUUGCCCAGUCGAGGGGGAUAACAGUUGGAAACGACUGCUAAUACCGCAUACGCCCUACGGGGGAAAGCAGGGGACCUUCGGGCCUUGCGCGAUUGGAUAUGCCCAGGUGGGAUUAGCUAGUUGGUGAGGUAAUGGCUCACCAAGGCGACGAUCCCUAGCUGGUCUGAGAGGAUGAUCAGCCACACUGGAACUGAGACACGGUCCAGACUCCUACGGGAGGCAGCAGUGGGGAAUAUUGCACAAUGGGGGAAACCCUGAUGCAGCCAUGCCGCGUGUGUGAAGAAGGCCUUCGGGUUGUAAAGCACUUUCAGCGAGGAGGAAAGGUUGGUGCCUAAUACGUAUCAACUGUGACGUUACUCGCAGAAGAAGCACCGGCUAACUCCGUGCCAGCCGCCGCCGUAAAAC